GACCGCACACCGGCCCUCUUUUUAAUAGGGGAGGCUUCGCUGCUGGCUAGACGUGCGAACUCUCGGGGGAAAAGAUGGAAAAGAGAAAAAAAUCCGCAACCAUUUUUCCCAUUCGGAGAUUGGAUUUGAGAUUUUAUUUUAUUUUUCCCCUCUAGGAUCCGUCGGCGUGCGAAUGGAGAAGAUGGGAGCCACCGAAUCGCAGCUUGAGGACCUCUUCGAUCAGAAGAAGCCCGUCAAGAACCCUCUCGUUCCCAGCGAAAAUUCAAGCUAGCUACUACCGUUCAUGCUGCUAAUGCUUCUUCAAAUGAUCAAUCAUCACAAGCUGUGUUUCAUUCUAUGCAAAGUCAAAAUCAAAAAGAGGGCAAGGAACCAAUGAACAAGGUUGACAAAGUUAAAUUUUCAUCUCAAAAGCCUACUUAUGUGGUAACAUAUAUUAAGGUUCUUGCAUCAUGUUCCCCAGCUCUUGAAACCUGCACAAUUGCAAGAUCCAAGUGUGCUUAUGAAUUCAUUAAUCAUGAUGUUCCAUCACGUGGAUGCAUGCAAGUCAAGAAAAUAUAUCUAAGAUUGAUUAGGAGGAUUUAGGCUUUAUUCCUUCGAAACUUUUGACAGAAGAGGGAGAGUCUUUCAAAAAAUGGUCUUGCUUUCUUUUCACUUUUCCAAAGGUUAUGAAGAUCUCUCUUUGCAAAAGUUGAAUAAAAGAGAGGCGCAGGAAGGAAAAGAUUGAGUAUGGGACAACAGAAGACAUUUAUAGGCUUACACUGUCAAGUUCUUAACAAGGCUUUGAACUUGAGGAUGUGUUCCAUGCAGUGGAAGUGUUUGAUGCAAGAGCACUGGAUCAACCCAUUUUCGAGUAGGUGUGCUUCUUACCACUGGUGUGCUCACCAUGGGCUGAUCAGCUUCAGACAAGGAAAUUCUUAGCUGGGUCAGAAGCUAAUGAGGGCUCGUGUUGUAUUUCAGGGUGCAACGGUUGCUCUCAUGGCUGGCAGUGCUUGCUUCUUUGGAGAACAAUUUAAGGGUUCUAAAAAAUGAAGUUGCAUUGUAUAAAAAUGGAUGCUUACCUUUAUGUCUAAAUGAGAUCAUCUUAUGGAGCACCCGUGUUAGCAGGGCAUGCUGCUGCUGCUGGUGACUAGAUUCCGAGAAUUACAAGUAUAUUUGGAUGCGCUCACUCUCUCUCUCUCUCUCGUUUUGGCAUUUAGAGAAAAUAGUGAAUUCAUAUUUUGUCAAAAAAUUUCAUCAAUUUUUUUAUGCAUGUUUUAAUAAUAAUUGAUUGCAUUAAAUGGUUCUCAGUUCUUGACUUUUGGCAUGCGGUGCCCAACAAUUUCCACCACACUAUUUGAGGUGUUCCACAAUAACAACUAGCAGGCCAUGUGAUAUAUCUUCUUGGCUGUGCAAAAUCUUUGAGGUGUGAUAAAACUCACUGCCAUCAUUGUCGACAUUUUCGGCUACAAUAUGUUCGGUUAGGCCAUGGUAUCGUGACAACUCAUUGUCCUUUGAAGUUUGAAGGGUCUAAAAUAAUAGAUAAUGACAUCCAGCCCUUUUGUUCAUCAAGUAUGCAUAUGUGAAAAAAAAAUCAUCAAGGUCAAAAGGGAGAAAACCAUGUUGUUCAGACUAAUCAUGUUGUUCUUUGUUACAGAUAAAAUCAUUAGAGGUAGAACAUGUAGUCAGGGUCCUCUA